rnacentral:rRNA from 1 species
GUCGAGAAUCUUCGGCAAUGGGCGCAAGCCUGACCGAGCGACGCCGCGUGGAGGACGAAGGCCUUCGGGUUGUAAACUCCUGUCGAGGGGGAAGAAGCCGCAAGGUUGACUGAACCCUGGAGGAAGCACGGGCUAAGUUCGUGCCAGCAGCCGCGGUAAGACGAACCGUGCGAACGUUAUUCGGAAUCACUGGGCUUAAAGCGCGUGUAGGCGGGACGGCACGUCGGUCGCUGAAAGCCCCCGGCUCAACCGGGGAACGGGCGCCGAUACGACUGUCCUCGAGGGACGUAGGGGGACCUGGAACUUCCGGUGGAGCGGUGAAAUGCGUUGAGAUCGGAAGGAACGCCCGUGGCGAAAGCGAGGUCCUGGACGUUUUCUGACGCUGAGACGCGAAAGCCAGGGGAGCGAACGGGAUUAGAAACCCCAGUAGUCC